CCAAGAGUUAAAUUUGUAGAAUAAUUAAGUUAGACUUUAAUUUCCGUAACAGCCACGCAGUAAGUGGAAACCUAAGGAGGGAACAGAAGAAUCAAGAAAAACCUAAAAUCAGCAAUCCACAGUACAGUAAGAACCUGAAAUACUAGAAAACACUGAAAAUCCUUUUAGCUGUGCAGUAAUCAACUAAAAGAACGGUGUUUGUUCCGACUUCGGGAACAUUCUAAAAGGAUUUUCAUCCUAAGUUGGAUGAUUGAUUGCUACCCUUGGAAGUUCCUCCAACCGAUAUCCUGUAACCGGGAAAAGAUACA